UUUGCCUACGGGGGGCAGCAGUAGGGAAUCUUCGGCAAUGGACGAAAGUCUGACCGAGCAACGCCGCGUGAGUGAAGAAGGUUUUCGGAUCGUAAAACUCUGUUGUUAGAGAAGAACGUUAAGUAGAGUGGAAAGUUACUUAAGUGACGGUAUCUAACCAGAAAGGGACGGCUAACUACGUGCCAGCAGCCGCGGUAAUACGUAGGUCCCGAGCGUUGUCCGGAUUUAUUGGGCGUAAGGCGAGUGCAGGCGG
rnacentral:rRNA from 1 species